CGCGUGGGAACGUACCCUUUGCUACGGAAUAGUCCCGGGAAACUGGGUUUAAUACCGUAUGUGCCCCCCCAAUCAAAUUUCAUUUGAUUGAUACUUCGAGAGACUUGUCAAAUGCCGAAUGGCAUUUGAUGGGGGGGGAAAGAUUUAUCGGCAAAGGAUCGGCCCGCGUUGGAUUAGGUAGUUGGUGGGGUAAUGGCCUACCAAGCCGACGAUCCAUAGCUGGUUUGAGAGGAUGAUCAGCCACACUGGGACUGAGACACGGCCCAGACUCCUACGGGAGGCAGCAGUGGGGAAUCUUAGACAAUGGGCGCAAGCCUGAUCUAGCCAUGCCGCGUGAGCGAUGAAGGCCUUAGGGUUGUAAAGCUCUUUCAGGGGGGAAGAUAAUGACUGUACCCCCAGAAGAAGCCCCGGCUAACUCCGUGCCAGCAGCCGCGGUAAUACGGAGGGGGCUAGCGUUGUUCGGAAUUACUGGGCGUAAAGCGCACGUAGGCGGAUUGGAAAGUCAGAGGUGAAAUCCCGGGGCUCAACCCCGGAACUGCCUUUGAAACUCCCAGUCUUGAGUUCGAGAGAGGUGAGUGGAAUUCCGAGUGUAGAGGUGAA
rnacentral:rRNA from 1 species